rnacentral:rRNA from 1 species
GACGAACGCUGGCGGCGUGCCUAAUACAUGCAAGUCGAACGAGUGGCGGACGGGUGAGUAAUGUAUGGGGAUCUGCCCGAGAGAGGGGGAUAACAACUGGAAACGGUGGCUAAUACCGCAUACUAUCGGAUGAACCAAUAUGGGAUUAGCUAGUAGGUGGGGUAAAGGCUCACCUAGGAGACGAUCUCUAGCUGGUCUGAGAGGAUGAUCAGCCACACUGGGACGGAGACAGGGCCCAGACUCCGACGGGAGGCAGCAGUGGGGAAUAUUGCACAAUGGGGGCAAGCCUGAUGCAGCCAUGCCGCGUGUAUGAAGAAGGCCUUAGGGUUUUAAAGUACGUUCAGCGGGGAGGCGUUACCCGCAGAAGAAGCACCGGCUAACUCCGUGCCAGCAGCCGCGGUAAUUC